rnacentral:rRNA from 1 species
GUCGAACGGAAAGGCCCUGCUUGCAGGGUACUCGAGUGGCGAACGGGUGAGUAACACGUGGGUGAUCUGCCCUGCACUUCGGGAUAAGCUUGGGAAACUGGGUCUAAUACCGGAUAGGAACCAUCUUUAGUGUGGUGGUUGGAAAGUCUUUUCGGUGUAGGAUGAGCUCGCGGCCUAUCAGCUUGUUGGUGGGGUAAUGGCCUACCAAGGCGGCGACGGGUAGCCGGCCUGAGAGGGUGUACGGCCACAUUGGGACUGAGAUACGGCCCAGACUCCUACGGGAGGCAGCAGUGGGGAAUAUUGCACAAUGGGCGCAAGCCUGAUGCAGCGACGCCGCGUGGGGGAUGAAGGCCUUCGGGUUGUAAACUCCUUUCGCUAGGGACGAAGCUUUUUGUGACGGUACCUAGAUAAGAAGCACCGGCUAACUACGUGCCAGCAGCCGCGGUAAUACGUAGGGUGCGAGCGUUGUCCGGAAUUACUGGGCGUAAAGGGCUCGUAGGUGGUUUGUCGCGUCGUCUGUGAAAUUCUGGGGCUUAACUCCGGGCGUGCAGGCGAUACGGGCAUAACUUGAGUGCUGUAGGGGUAACUGGAAUUCCUGGUGUAGCGGUGAAAUGCGCAGAUAUCAGGAGGAACACCGAUGGCGAAGGCAGGUUACUGGGCAGUUACUGACGCUGAGGAGCGAAAGCAUGGGUAGCGA